CCUACGGGAGGCAGCAGUGAGGAAUAUUGGUCAAUGGGCGCGAGCCUGAACCAGCCAAGUCGCGUGAGGGAAGACGGUCCUAUGGAUUGUAAACCUCUUUUGUCGGGGAGCAAAAGACGCCACGCGUGGCGUUCCGAGAGUACCCGAAGAAAAAGCAUCGGCUAACUCGGUGCCAGCAGCCGCGGUAAUACGGAGGAUGCGAGCGUUAUCCGGAUUUAUUGGGUUAAAAGGGUGCGCAGGCGGAAGAUCAAGUCAGCGGUAAAAUUGAGAGGCUCAACCUCUGCGAGCCGUUGAAACUGGGUGUCUUGAGUGAGCGAGAAGUAUGCGGAAUGCGUGGUGUAGCGGUGAAAUGCAUAGAUAUCACGCAGAACUCCGAUUGCGAAGGCAGCAUACCGGCGCUCAACUGACGCUCAUGCACGAAAGUGUGGGUAUCGAACAGGAUUAGAUACCCCUGUAGUC
rnacentral:rRNA from 1 species